rnacentral:rRNA from 1 species
AGAGUUUGAUCAUGGCUCAGAACGAACGCUGGCGGCGUGCUUAACACAUGCAAGUCGAACGGGGUUACACAGUGUAGCAAUACAAGGUGUAACUUAGUGGCGGACGGGUGAGUAACACGUAGUUAACCUACCCUAAAGCGGGGGACAACUGAGGGAAACUUCAGCUAAUACCGCAUAAGACCACGAACUGGGAUGUUAGUGGUAAAAGGAGCAAUUCACUUUAGGAUGGGACUGCGGCCUAUCAGGUAGUUGGUAGGGUAAAGGCCUACCAAGCCAAAGACGGGUAGCCGGACUGAGAGGUCGAACGGCCACACUGGAACUGAGACACGGUCCAGACUCCUACGGGAGGCAGCAGUGGGGAAUCUUGCACAAUGGGCGAAAGCCUGAUGCAGCGACGCCGCGUGGAGGACGAAGGCCUUCGGGUUGUAAACUCCUUUUGUAGGGGAAAAUAAUGAUGGUACCCUAUGAAUAAGCCACGGCUAACUCUGUGCCAGCAGCCGCGGUAAGACAGAGGUGGCGAGCGUUGUUCGGAAUUACUGGGCUUAAAGGGCGCGUAGGCGGUGGUGCAAGUCUGGGGUGGAAUUCUAUGGCUUAACUAUAGGACUGCCCUGGAAACUGCAUUACUUGAGUCGGUGAGGGGAAGGCGGAAUUCCUGGUGUAGCGGUGAAAUGCGUAGAUAUCAGGAGGAAGGCCUGUGGUGAAGACGGCCUUCUGGCACUUGACUGACGCUGA